CUACUACUCCCUCCGUCCGAAAAUACUUGUCAUCAAAAUGAAUGAAAAGGGAUGUAUCUAGAACUAAAAUACGUCUAGAUACAUCCCCUUUUGUUCAUUUUAGUGACAAGUAUUUUCGGACGGAGGGAGUACAAG
rfam:Triticum aestivum genome assembly, contig: Triticum_aestivum_CS42_TGACv1_scaffold_500459_6BL